rnacentral:rRNA from 1 species
AGCGAACGCUGGCGGCAGGCCUAACACAUGCAAGUCGAACGAACUCUUCGGAGUUAGUGGCGGACGGGUGAGUAACACGUGGGAACGUGCCUUUAGGUUCGGAAUAACUCAGGGAAACUUGUGCUAAUACCGAAUGUGCCCUUCGGGGGAAAGAUUUAUCGCCUUUAGAGCGGCCCGCGUCUGACUAGCUAGUUGGUGAGGUAAAGGCUCACCAAGGCGACGAUCAGUAGCUGGUCUGAGAGGAUGAUCAGCCACAUUGGGACUGAGACACGGCCCAAACUCCUACGGGAGGCAGCAGUGGGGAAUCUUGCGCAAUGGGCGAAAGCCUGACGCAGCCAUGCCGCGUGAAUGAUGAAGGUCUUAGGAUUGUAAAAUUCUUUCACCGGGGACGAUAAUGACGGUACCCGGAGAAGAAGCCCCGGCUAACUUCGUG